GGAGCCCCACCACUAAGCCAGUGGUGAACUCCACAUACGCAUCCUUUGCUGAGGAUACGGUUAACGGAGCGAAAGCGACGUUCAACCUCAAAAGAAGCAGAGGGGGCUUAGUGGUGGGGUGACUGCGUACCUUUUGUAUAAUGGGUCAGCGACUUAUAUUCUGUAGCAAGGUUAACCGUAUAGGGGAGCCGGAGGGAAACCGAGUCUUAACCGGGCGUUAAGUUGCAGGGUAUAGACCCGAAACCCGGUGAUCUAGCCAUGGGCAGGUUGAAGGUUGGGUAACACUAACUGGAGGACCGAACCGACUAAUGUUGAAAAAUUAGCGGAUGACCUGUGGCUGGGGGUGAAAGGCCAAUCAAACCGGGAGAUAGCUGGUUCUCCCCGAAAGCUAUUUAGGUAGCGCCUCGUGAAUUCAUCUCCGGGGGUAGAGCACUGUUUCGGCUAGGGGGCCAUCCCGGCUUACCAACCCGAUGCAAACUGCGAAUACCGGAGAAUGUUAUCACGGGAGACACACGGCGGGUGCUAACGUCCGUCGUGAAGAGGGAAACAACCCAGACCGCCAGCUAAGGUCCCAAAGUCAUGGUUAAGUGGGAAACGAUGUGGGAAGGCCCAGACAGCCAGGAUGUUGGCUUAGAAGCAGCCAUCAUUUAAAGAAAGCGUAAUAGCUCACUGGUCGAGUCGGCCUGCGCGGAAGAUGUAACGGGGCUAAACCAU
rnacentral:rRNA from 1 species